rnacentral:tRNA from 4 species
GCUCCUGUAGCUCAACGGAUUAGAGCACCUCGCUUCGGACGAGACGGUUGGGGGUUCGAAUCCCUCCAGGAGCG